rnacentral:rRNA from 1 species
AGAGUUUGAUCCUGGCUCAGGAUGAACGCUGGCGGCGUGCUUAACACAUGCAAGUCGAACGAACCUUCGGGUUAGUGGCGGACGGGUGAGUAACGCGUGAGAAUCUGCCCUCAGGAGGGGGAUAACGGCUGGAAACGGCCGCUAAUACCCCAUAUGCCGAGAGGUGAAAUGAAUUUCGCCUGAGGAUGAGCUCGCGUCUGAUUAGCUAGUUGGUAGGGUAAAGGCCUACCAAGGCUUCGAUCAGUAGCUGGUCUGAGAGGAUGAUCAGCCACACUGGGACUGAGACACGGCCCAGACUCCUACGGGAGGCAGCAGUGGGGAAUUUUCCGCAAUGGGCGAAAGCCUGACGGAGCAACGCCGCGUGAGGGAUGAAGGCCUCUGGGCUGUAAACCUCUUUUAUCAAGGAAGAAGAUCUGACGGUACUUGAUGAAUAAGCCACGGCUAAUUCCGUGCCAGCAGCCGCGGUAAUACGGGAGUGGCAAGCGUUAUCCGGAAUUAUUGGGCGUAAAGCGUCCGCAGGCGGUCCUACAAGUCUGUCGUUAAAGCGUGGAGCUUAACUCCAUUUCAGCGAUGGAAACUGUAAGACUAGAAUGUGGUAGGGGCAGAGGGAAUUCCCGGUGUAGCGGUGAAAUGCGUAGAUAUCGGGAAGAACACCAGUGGCGAAGGCGCUCUGCUGGGCCAUAACUGACGCUCAUGGACGAAAGCCAGGGGAGCGAAAGGGAUUAGAUACCCCUGUAGUCCUGGCCGUAAACGAUGAACACUAGGUGUCGGGGGAAUCGACCCCCUCGGUGUCGUAGCCAACGCGUUAAGUGUUCCGCCUGGGGAGUACGCACGCAAGUGUGAAACUCAAAGGAAUUGACGGGGGCCCGCACAAGCGGUGGAGUAUGUGGUUUAAUUCGAUGCAACGCGAAGAACCUUACCAGGGUUUGACAUCCUGCGAAUCCCUUGGAAACGAGGGAGUGCCUUCGGGAACGCAGUGACAGGUGGUGCAUGGCUGUCGUCAGCUCGUGUCGUGAGAUGUUGGGUUAAGUCCCGCAACGAGCGCAACCCACGUCUUUAGUUGCCAGCAUUUAGUUGGGCACUCUAGAGAGACUGCCGGUGAUAAACCGGAGGAAGGUGUGGAUGACGUCAAGUCAUCAUGCCCCUUACAUCCUGGGCUACACACGUACUACAAUGCUACGGACAAAGGGCAGCAAACUCGCGAGGGCUAGCAAAUCCCAUAAACCGUGGCUCAGUUCAGAUCGUAGGCUGCAACUCGCCUACGUGAAGGAGGAAUCGCUAGUAAUCGCAGGUCAGCAUACUGCGGUGAAUACGUUCCCGGGCCUUGUACACACCGCCCGUC